GAUGAACGCUGGCGGCGUGCCUAAUACAUGCAAGUCGAGCGAAUGGAUUAAGAGCUUGCUCUUAUGAAGUUAGCGGCGGACGGGUGAGUAACACGUGGGUAACCUGCCCAUAAGACUGGGAUAACUCCGGGAAACCGGGGCUAAUACCGGAUAACAUUUUGAACCGCAUGGUUCGAAAUUGAAAGGCGGCUUCGGCUGUCACUUAUGGAUGGACCCGCGUCGCAUUAGCUAGUUGGUGAGGUAACGGCUCACCAAGGCAACGAUGCGUAGCCGACCUGAGAGGGUGAUCGCCCACACUGGGACUGAGAACCGGCCCAGACUCCUACGGGAGGCAGCAGUAGGGAAUCUUCCGCAAUGGACGAAAGUCUGACGGAGCAACGCCGCGUGAGUGACGAAGGCUUUCGGGUCGUAAAACUCUGUUGUUAGGGAAGAACAAGUGCUAGUUGAAUAAGCUGGCACCUUGACGGUACCUAACCAGAAAGCCACGGCUAACUACGUGCCAGCCGCCGCGGUAA
rnacentral:rRNA from 1 species